CUUCCAUUUCAAAGAAGGUGAAAUGUGAAAACAGAUAAAACUAAUUUUAGUAAUUUUCCUUAACAGUUUUCUAGCAUUUACUGAGUCCUGUAACUACCGGAAAUUUCUUUAAUGUAACAUGGGCCAAGGUACUGAAAAGUUACUGUCAAGAAAAUGUUUGUAUAAAGCUUCAUUUAGCAUUUGUGACAAACUGACCAAAUCAUGAGAAAACUUUUUAGUGAGUUUUCCAGAAAUUAUAUGUUGAGCUUUCAUUGUCCUUUUUGUAGUAAUAACAGUAGUAAUUUUUAUAUAUAUUGUGUGUAAUAAUAAACUGUUGAGAAACCAUCAGGUAAUAAUAACACAGCUUUACAAAAUGCUCCAGAAUGUUUGUGCUGUGAUUUUAUAAACAGCAUAACAUAGCUCCAUUAUCAAAUACACCUUAUUGCUAAUAUUUGCCUUUCUAAAAUAGUGUAUUGGAAAUGGACUGUCUGGUAAGGGGAAGGAAUAAGUAUUGUAAAUUAGAAAAUUGUUGAACGACAGUGUCUUUCCUAAUAAGUACAGCAUACGCAUUUAAAUAGGGAGUGUAAUCAUUAAAAGAGAAAGGCUUCAAAGGAUGGCUACUUAUUUGUUGUGCUCAGCACUUCACUGUACUUGUGCUUUAGAGUAGUUCUUUCUUUUUUCUUAGUGAAAAAUGAUCCUCCCACCUGGUGCUAUAAUGCAAUUGCAUCAGUACAAUGUAGUCAGAUCCUGAGUAGUGGAUUAUAGUUGAUGACCAAAAGACACAGAGACCGAAUACAUUAUUUCAUUCGGAAACUUUUUAAGGUGUAACUCUCACCUUUAUUAAGGAAAUAAGAGAGCAAAUAUUAAACUUUUGGUGGAAGAUAAGCAAAAAAGGCGUAUUGUUCUAUACAUUGAGCUGUAUUCACAGGUUACCAGAUAUCUCAAUCAAUAUAUUCAACAUUCAUCCCUUUCUUCUCACAAUCCAGCUUUCAAGAAAAAGCAAGAGUAAGUCCUCUAAGUUUCUUUUCUGCUCUGUCAGCCAAGAAAAGCAUAUUAUGUUUCCCAUUAGUACUUUUACAGGAAGUGUUAUUUUAUAUUGAAUUCUAAAUUUCACCUGAACUAGAAGAAAUUUUAGUAGUAACUUUGUGCUUACUGGGAUACAAUUGCUUUUGCACCUGUAUCUUACUGCUUUUACGUUCUCACAGAGUAAGUGUUGAAACACCUUAAAGCUUUUUGCUUACAUUGGAUUUUUUUCUUCUUUGCCAAACUGCAGAUCACAGAGCAUAAUCCUUUCUCAAUCAUAUGCUUUUUUUAAAUUUAUCCCGCCUUUUUCUAAAUUAUUCUAGCAGACUUAGAAAUGUCUGGUCUUCAGGUAGAGACUGUAUGUUUUGACCUUCUCAUGAGAUCUUUUGUACAGAAACUGCUUUUACUACUAAACUCCAUAAUAUGUUUGAGUUACAGCAGAAGUAAUAUAACUGACUUCUCUCCAGAAGUCCUUUUAAAGUUCCUGAAAUAACUUGGAGUUUUCUGAAAUCAUCAUCUUUCUUUAAAGUUACAGGACAGCUCUGUUUCUUUGUAAACUUCAGGAGAUCUACAGGAUGAUAACAAAAAUCUUAUCUUUGCAUGGCUGCCCAUUAAACUACUAUUCUCAGACUUUAAGGUGGAAUGCAUCACUACUAAAAUAAAAUCAAAACCCUCGCUGAGGUCUGAUUGAGUAAGGAAAUCUUGUCGAUAAAGUCUAGAUUCAGACAACCUUGCCAUAUGAGAUAGCAAAAAAGGCAAGAACUUGUAAAUGUAACAAUGGCAAGUUUUAGACAAAAACCUGCCUCCCAUAUUUUUGUUGAAUUGUUUUAGCAAAGACGUGAAAGAGUAGAAAUCAUAUUUUAAAGUACACACUGCCUCAAUGUGGAAGAGGCUGUUGUCCCUUCGUAAAGACACGAUGGCUACGUUCUCGCUCUAAACAUCACCACUGUCCAGAUCUGUGAAAGUGCUUCCGCACCUACAUGCACAAGUGAACUUGCUGGCUGUCCAAAUCACUUUCUCACAGUUGUAAAAGGAAAACUCAGAUACUAGCUAGAUGGUGGUGCUUAUUUAAUUUCGCUUUCCAGUGCAACCGGAAACGGCAACUAGUAGAACAACAAAACACUUUCUUCCAAAAUAUAAAAUCAUCCAGCCUGAUCCUCCAUCAUCUUACAUCUUUUGUCUUACUGUACUUUCCUAAAAACUUCCUUGACUUACUGUCUUCAAAAGAGUAAUUUUUGCCAAGUAGAAUUCUAAAAUUCUGGAGUGAGAGUGUGUUUGAUUGUGGUGUUGUAAACUGAUAUGUAACUGUCAUUGCAGUGCACGUUCUUCCCAUUUAUAUUAACAAAAGCACUCAAUCCCCAAUAGGAUCACAAGAAUCAGGGAUGGGAUCUGGAUUCAGAAGCAUUUUUGCUCCUUAGUCUACCACCAAGCCAGCAGAAAACUUAGAAAAAAAAAUAAGAUUUUCCCUCAAUGUAUUGAACUAAAUUGCCUUAAAAAGAAGUUUGACAAGUGCUAGAGUCAGCACAGAAGGAGUGGCCAUGUAAUGAUCUCUCAAGACAUUAGUGUACAAAUACAGAUCAUGAAGUGCACUUAUAUAUGUUUGAUCUUCAGCCCUUUUGAUGGCCUUUGACUGUUGAUGAAGGUAUAAACAGGAAGGAAGGUAUAAACAGCUGCUGACACUGUACAGCAUCCAUGUAUGACAAAGGCUGAUUUUUUGGGUGGGUGAGACAGGCCCAGAAUUUUCUCCUAGACUUUUCUUUCUUAGCAUAAUAGCAAGUGCUUUACUAACUGAAGCCAAUACCUUGUGCUAGCCUUUUUCUGCCUCAGACUCCUGAAUCAAUGGCUAAUAUAAAAGCUUUUACUUAGCUUUGCAGACAUCUUUUGAAGGUUUUUAUUGAUUUUUUUUUUCCUCAUCUAUCCAUUCUCCCAUUUACUUUAAGACAUUUUAUGGGCUCCUUGUUCUUACAAUUUCCUUGUCUCGCACCAUGAAAUAUGUUUCCUCUUCCUUUCCUGUUGCUACAAUUCUACUUCACCUAGUCUGCCUUUAAGAAUUCACCUUUUUGGUGAACAGUAAGUGGUUUCAGAGGUUAGUACUGGAAAAGUUUCCUGAGAGGACAAAAAAUAUGAACUCAGUCUUAGCUCUAUCUAGGUACUUAAAGACCUGUUUAUGUAUGUUAAGCAUAUUAUCCAAAACAGCAACCGAAUCAACACAAAAGCCUACUAGCUAAAAAUUCUGAUUCAAGUACUGCUAAAUUUACAGUUUUCAUAUCAACAAACACCUUUUUUCUCUUGCUUUCUUUCUUUGACCCUUUAGCACCUGACAGUGUUCAGUGUUCCCUCUACCUCUGUAUUACUGUUGUUAUACAAGAUCAAAAGGUAUGAAAAACUGACCCGAUAGGAUGCAUAAAUGAGCUCCGUGGCAAAAAUUCUCCGGGGAAAACAGCCUGAGCUGAAUUCCGUCAGUGGGAUGUUCUUAUGCUGUAUACAUGAUGAAAAUUAUCUGUACUUUUCCAGUCUUGGAACAAGGAGAUGCACAUGCUAAAGAAGCUAGGCGCCUGUCUUACCGCAGCUGUCAAAUCACCGACGCUGGGGACAUUAGGCCAUCUCGGAAAAAAAUGGUUAAGAUGCUCACACAGCCUAAAAAAUACUAACCUCUAUCAAUAGAAAUUAACUACCAAGUCUAAAUAGAGUAGUACUCUUGUAGAGCAAAGAGUUUUGUGAAUAACCAACUUGAACAGGCAACUUGAAUGCCUAUUCCUAUAGAUAGUCUUUUCUGAGUGAAUUAGAUCUGUAGACUUCAUGAGUCCAAAAAAACUCGAUACUUCAGGAUGUUCCUAAAUGCACUAGAGUAAGUAUGAAAUUCUCAUCUUAGUGUUACAGAUGCAUGGCUGCAUAGACAUUUUCCUCAGUGAGGAAAUCAGUUUCAGUAAUUCCCAACCAUUCUUGUUCUCACCCACAUCCGGCCAUUUGUUUUUGCAUCUCUGUCAUCUCAUCCUUCAUUCUAUCACAACUGUUCAUGAGGUUGCACAGUGAAAUGAUGUGAAGUUCAGCCUAAACCCAGCAUUUUUUGCAGGCUUUUAAAGCCAGAUAGAAUCCUUGAACUGAGAGAGAUUAUAUACCACUACUGAGGAUUGAAUAGUCAAGAACAACAGUAGCUGGAGUAUUGCUGCCAAACACUUUGUAUCAAUAAACUGUGGUCUUAGGAAAGUAUUUUGAGAGCCAUUGUACUCCCUGAGAAACUAAGCGUAGUUAACUGAAACUAAAUUCAAGAAAUUAUUUGUGAGAGGGAGAGUAUGAAAAUUUGGUUAACUGUUAGGAAAGUGGUUUAUUCAGAUUCGUUUAAUGUGUGUGCUUUUUUUUUUUAACGUUUGAUGAUCAGAGCUAGAAUUAGCAAAUUCCUCUCAUUUUAUAUUCUUAAUGCUGAUUACAGUAAAAGGUAAGAAUCAAACCUUGAGCAUUAGCUAAGAUUUCCAUUCAGGAUAACUGAAGGUGUUAAAAUGGUCUUCCAUCAAAGAGAGAUUUCAGACUAAGGUUUGUACCAGCUACUUUUUUGUAAUUUGCAUUGACAACUUUCAAAGUAAAGAACAGAUAGAUAAAUCAGAUCAUAUUUUAUAUGGAUCCCUCUUUUCCAAUUUGCUUAGAUGCCCUUUUCACCCUUUUUAACUAUCUUUCUUUGUCAUGGUAUCUUUUCCUUCAUGAAGUUCAAAUGCUUGCAUGCUUAUAGGUAGUGCAUUCUUUGCAUCAAACACACUAUUAUAUGAAUUGUUUCCUUCUUAAAGGGUCAGUUCAGGGCUGCACUGUAAUUUAAUACUCACAUGAGAAUUUAACUGGAUUUCAACAGUUUGUAUAUGUAUGACAUUCAGGUAAGAUCGAGUUUUAACCUUUGGCUGUUUUUCAGAUCUGCAUUAAGCUAUUAACACCCAGUGCUUUCAGGACUUCAGUGAUUUUUUCUAUUAAAAUAAUUCAAGAAAAGCUAGAUGAAAGCAAGAAAACUGUGAUACCAUUUGAAGGCUGCUUUCUUACCUGUAUGAGUUAGACAAUGCAUUUAGCUUUUACCCAGUGUAAGAGAAGACAUGUAACGCUUUACUCCAAGAGCAAUGUUCAGAAAGGACUGAGAAUCCUUACACAUCCCAUCCUUUCACUCCUGCUGGCAGAUUAUAAGGAGCAGAUCACUACUGACUGUAUUAUUUGAACAGAAAGCACAGAGUUUAUUGAGCCAUCAUUCCUCAGAAAGACCUUUCCUUUUUACACUGUAGCCAACCUCCCUGAGGUACAAAUGAACAUACGGAGAGAAAAAACCAGCCCUACUUACAUAACAGACGAAGAAAAUUCCAACCAGGUCUUACGUGAACAGACAACAUUUGGGCCAUUUGGCCAUUUGUGACUACUUGAAAGGGAAAACGUUCUGCAUAUCUACUACAAUGCUAGAAAAUUAAUUUGACUUUCUAAACGUGAGAGUUUAUCCCAGAAUGCUAAUUCUUAAAACUGUAUGUAUCCAGUUAGGGAACACAAAAAAACCCCUAUGACUUGGCGUGUCUCAUUGGGAGUCACUUCUAAAUCAACAUAAAAAACAAUCCAUCAGUAUAUACUAAAUAUCCAGAGAGCAAUAGGAUAGUGGAUUAAAAAAUAUCCAACUGUUUUGCAAAAUUCAG